rnacentral:rRNA from 1 species
AAUAGAUACCCCGGUAGUCCACGCCCUAAACGAUGUCAACUGGUUGUCGGGGAAGCAAUUCCUUGGUAACGAAGCUAACGCGUGAAGUUGACCGCCUGGGGAGUACGGCCGCAAGGUUAAAACUCAAAGGAAUUGACGGGGACCCGCACAAGCGGUGGAUUAUGUGGAUUAAUUCGAUGCAACGCGAAAAACCUUAACCUACCCUUGACAUGUACGGAACCUCGCAGAGAUGUGAGGGUGCCCGAAAGGGAGCCGUAACACAGGUGCUGCAUGGCUGUCGUCAGCUCGUGUCGUGAGAUGUUGGGUUAAGUCCCGCAACGAGCGCAACCCUUGUCAUUAGUUGCUACAUUCAGUUGGGCACUCUAAUGAGACUGCCGGUGACAAACCGGAGGAAGGUGGGGAUGACGUCAAGUCCUCAUGGCCCUUAUGGGUAGGGCUUCACACGUAAUACAAUGGCCGGUACAGAGGGCUGCCAACCCGCGAGGGGGAGCUAAUCCCAGAAAGCCGGUCGUAGUCCGGAUUGUUCUCUGCAACUCGAGAGCAUG